GAUAGUGAUUGGAUUCAACUAAAGAAAGAAGCAUUUCUGAUUUUGCGCUACCAAUUCUUAAGUCUGCUGCCAUUUUUGUAACUCUGCUGCUGUUUUCGUAAGUCCUUUGUCCUUUUGUCUCUUAUCAUUAUUUUUUGUUGCUUUUAGUUUGGGGGUUGGGCUCCUUUGUAGUGCACUUCUGUGUUGAUGCAAUCCUUGUGCUUGGCUCGUAGGCUGUUUUUAAUAAGAAGAAAAAAAAUACAUUUAUUGUAAUUUUUUUUGACAUGUCUAUGUUUAAAUGCAUAUAGUUUAUAGCAAUGGAUAAGUCAUGGAUUAUGAAGCCACGAGGAUCGGAUGCAUAUGAGCUAGGUGUAAUGGAAUUUAUUAAAUUUGCCUUUAAAGAUAAACCGGAAAAUAUUGAACUAAUAUGCCCU
rnacentral:lncRNA from 1 species